UAUUGGAGAGCGGGAUAUUAUCAGUGGGGGCUCUAUUCCGGUCGAAGGAUGAUUUGGCGAUCGCUGUUGGCCUGUACCAUAUGGAGAAUCACGUGGAGUACGCCGUGGAUCGUUCCAGUACGACCCGUUUGUGGUUUGUUUGCAAGCAUGGCAACGAUUGUCCGUUCAUGCUGCGAGCCGUUCAGAGUGCAUCGAUCUGGAGAGUGAUCAAGGUGGUGAUGGAUCAUACCUGCCACACGGAUUUGAAUCGCACUGCCCCGAGACAGAUUCCGGCGAGGGUUGUUGGAAGAUAUUUUGCACGGAAAUUGGUAGGCGAGGGGGUCAUUUUGAAGCCGA
rnacentral:lncRNA from 1 species